CAAUAGCGUAUAUUUAAGUUGUUGCAGUUAAAAAGCUCGUAGUUGGAUUUCGGAUGGGACUUGCCGGUCCGUCGUUUCGAUGUGCACUGGCCAGUCCUAUCUUGUUGUCGGGGACUAGCUCCUGGGCUUCACUGUCCGGGACUAGGAGCUGACGAGGUUACUUUGAGUAAAUUAGAGUGUUCAAAGCAAGCCUACGCUCUGAAUACAUUAGCAUGGAAUAACACGAUAGGACUCUGGCUUAUCUUGUUGGUCUGUGAGACCAGAGUAAUGAUUAAGAGGGACAGUCGGGGGCAUUCGUACUUCAUUGUCAGAGGUGAAAUUCUUGGAUUUAUGAAAGACGAACUUCUGCGAAAGCAUUUGUCAAGGAUGUUUUCAUUAA
rnacentral:rRNA from 1 species